rnacentral:rRNA from 1 species
GAUGAACGCUGGCGGCGUGCCUAAUACAUGCAAGUCGAGCGAACAGACGAGGAGCUUGCUCCUCUGACGUUAGCGGCGGACGGGUGAGUAACACGUGGAUAACCUACCUAUAAGACUGGGAUAACUUCGGGAAACCGGAGCUAAUACCGGGUAAUAUAUUGAGCCGCAUGGUUCAAUAGUGAAAGACGGUUUUGCUGUCACUUAUAGAUGGAUCCGCGCCGCAUUAGCUAGUUGGUAAGGUAACGGCUUACCAAGGCGACGAUGCGUAGCCGACCUGAGAGGGUGAUCGGCCACACUGGAACUGAGACACGGUCCAGACUCCUACGGGAGGCAGCAGUAGGGAAUCUUCCGCAAUGGGCGAAAGCCUGACGGAGCAACGCCGCGUGAGUGAUGAAGGUCUUCGGAUCGUAAAACUCUGUUAUUAGGGAAGAACAAAUGUGUAAGUAACUAUGCACGUCUUGACGGUACCUAAUCAGAAAGCCACGGCUAACUACGUG